rnacentral:misc_RNA from 1 species
AGUUUUUACUACUAAUUAUUUUAACAUAAUUAAAAAAAAAUUCAGUCUAACAUAAUUUAAUCAAAUAACCGAAUACAUAUUACAAACUGAAUACACAUUACCCAUUACUCACAUGACAAAUUUAAAUUCUCGUUCUUAGUAAAAAAAAAUAAUAAAAUUUAAGGAAAAAAAAUAACAAUAAUAAAAUUUAAUGAGCAAUAACAUAUCUUCUUUUGAGAUUAGAUUGGUUUUAUUAAAACCAGUCCGCUCCGUCUUAGAUUGAUUCAAAUAGACAGAGAACUUUUACCACAAGAAACCGUCUGAGCUGUAUUUAUUUAAAUUUUCUAAAGAAUAAAUUAAACUAUUAUAAUAUAUACCCAAAAAAAUUAAAUUUUUUGGUUCUUAGGGUUCUCAUGAUACAAACCAAAAAA